rnacentral:rRNA from 1 species
UACGUAGGCAGCAAGCGUUGUUCGGAGUUACUGGGCGUAAAGGGUGUGUAGGCGGCUUUCUAAGUUUGGUGUGAAAUCUCCCGGCUCAACUGGGAGGGUGCGCCGAAGACUGGGGAGGCUAGAGUAUGGGAUGGGAGAGUGGAAUUCCUGGUGUAGCGGUGAAAUGCGUAGAUAUCAGGAGGAACACCUGCGGUGUAGACGGCUCUCUGGACCAUUACUGACGCUGAGACACGAAACGAGCGUGGGUAGGCAAACAGG